GUAGAUGUAAUGUUGGCUUUACUAUGAUUUUUUUGGUUUUUUGCAUGCGUAAUGUGCUUAGGAACAUUGUAGACUUUAAAUAUGAUGUUUGGGACUGUAAUUAAGACAUUUCGAUGUUUAUUUUAUGAGACAAUUGAUGCAUGAUGUUUUGGACUAGUUUGGAAUGAUCUAUGUAAUGAUAUGUGUUGUGUUUUUAAGG
rnacentral:lncRNA from 1 species